rnacentral:lncRNA from 1 species
UAGUCUUCCGCUUUUUCGGUGAUAUCUAUAAGAAGGAAUACCUGUCUCAAGGUAAACAGGAGUUCCCGGCUCAAGCGAAAUGAUACCGGCGCAAGGUAAUUCAAUUCUUUAGUUUGUGGCAGAGAGUUUUAGAAGACUCUCGGUUAUUAAGGUCACUGCUUAACAAAGCGAUCUUGAUAGCCGCUGACGUACUAAGGAGUUAUGUAUUGGAGCUUACCUGUUUGCUCUUACGGUAAUGAGGACGGCCCGACGUUC